AGAGUUUGAUCCUGGCUCAGGAUGAACGCUGGCGGCGUGCUUAACACAUGCAAGUCGAGCGCGGUCCCUUUGGUGCUUGCACCAAAGAAGACUGAGCGGCGGACGGGUGAGUAACGCGUGGGUAACCUGCCCUAUACACAUGGAUAACAUGCUGAAAAGCAUACUAAUACAUGAUAACGUACACUGAUGGCAUCUUCGGUGUAUCAAAGCGUUAGCGGUAUAGGAUGGACCCGCGUCUGAUUAGCUAGUUGGUGGGGUAAAAGCCUACCAAGGCCACGAUCAGUAGCCGACCUGAGAGGGUGAUCGGCCACAUUGGAACUGAGACACGGUCCAAACUCCUACGGGAGGCAGCAGUGGGGAAUAUUGCACAAUGGGCGAAAGCCUGAUGCAGCAACGCCGCGUGAACGAUGAAGGUCUUCGGAUCGUAAAGUUCUGUCGCAGGGGAAGAUAAUGACGUACCCUGGAGNAG
rnacentral:rRNA from 1 species